rnacentral:misc_RNA from 1 species
AAAAGACGAAAAAAGAACAAAAGGAUUUUGCUAGGCUAGCAGGGCCUUCUCGGCGUCGUGAGCGCCGUCACCUCGCAACUGAUCCUCGUCAGCCGAAAUCUCGUUGCUCUUGGCCCAUAGGACAAUGUAGAGCCCACUGAACAUCAGCACGAUCCCUGCGAGGCUUCCCAGGCCGAGGACUUGUCGGAGGAGAGCAGCAGAGAGGAUGGCGGUG